ACACACACUCCAAACCUCCUGCACAAACGCAGUGUCUGCUGCAGUCGGGGCUUCGGAGCUUCUCACACUCUCCAAAGAAACAAACAAAUAAAAGUGAGGAGCACUUCUUUGAGGUGCUGGCAUUUGCUUGUGGCCAUGACUAGUGGGAGAGCAAACAAAUUAAUAGUGUCCACGUUUUCACUUUCUAAACUCGACUAAAUGUCUUUUAGUUCAAGUGGGGCUAUUCCGCUGACCCCAGUGUCAAACGCUGCGUUAAAAAGGUUGCACAGUCGUGCACUUGAAACGUUGAGGAGGAGGAGGCCGCAAGAAAUUAACCGGGACUGGGGCUUCGGGGAGGCUUGCACUUCAAAGCGGAGUAAUAAUGAUAAAUACGUCUGAAAUUGUUGCGGCAAAUUAUGAGAAGAGCUGUCGAAAGCUCUUAACCUUUUCAUCAGAUUGACUGUAGGGGAGAUGGGGUGGGGGGGGGGGGGGGCUGUGUCGCUCAACUUUGAUAAGACAAUCAGAUGAUAGGAUGGCGUUAUCUUAACACGGCUUUCCGGCUGCGAGACAAAUGAACAGUGGGCGAUAACGGGAACAAAAGCUUUGCUUUUACUGGAGGCCUCUUCCAAGAAAGGAAAGAAAUGAUCAGAGUGGAAAAUUCACAAAAUAAAAGGGGGGACUGUUCAUUUUCAAUUUUGUGCUUGAGCCAGGUCAUAUGAGCAGUUGUAUUUUUAGAAUAUUUCUGUUAUCUCUAUUAGGUUUGACAGCCAUGCGAAUAAAGCAGCCAUCACUGGAAAAAUGCUAAAAAUGUUUCAAAGCAAACAAUUUCAGUCCACAAAAGGAUAAAUAAAGUUCAGAAGGUUAAGGAAAGAAACAGGCAGGUCAAUGAACAAGAAAGGAAAAAGUCACAGCUGGUGUCUAAGUGUGACAUGAAUGAAUGGUUACAGAAAAAAAAAAAGGUAGAAUUAGUUUCCAUUUGGACCGUCUGCAGAUCAGGGAAACAUCACUUCUGUCUGGGUUUUCUGACUUCUGCAGCCAAAUUCUCACAGUCAGGGAGAAGCUUGUGUGCUCAAGGAUUUCCUCGAGGUUUUGUUUGAUCUUUUCCCAAAAAAAAAAAAAGAAAGAAAAAAAAGAUUGGUAAAAUGGCUUCCUGGCAGAAAACAUUAGUCCUUUGUUGAAACUAAAACAGAAGAACGAAAUCCUUUAGAAAUAUUGUAAAAAAAAAAAAAGGCAAAAAAAAACCUACACGAAUAAAAUAUUUUCUUACUGAGAAAAAGUGUUGUAUGUUAUUUAAAGUGUAUUUUUUUCUAAUAAAUCUGCAUUUUGCCACUUUUUCGAAAGCUUCAUUGUCACUUUUAUAAAUUUAAAAGUUAAAUUUCACCUUCCUGAAACCAUUUCUUUACAGCAACUGUCGGAAAUAAAUCGACGAAAGUUCAUCUCAUCUCAGGGAUUUAGCCUUUCCUGGUCGUGAGCUGAGUCUGAUUGGAGGAGUUACAAAUCCUCCACUUUCAGCAGCCUUACUGUAAUUUACAGGCCUGUAGGCCACAGGACAGCGUGGGGGCCCGGCACCUCGAGAGGGAUUUGAGACAACAUCUUUGUUGUGUUCUCAUUGUGCGAUUGGUGAAAGUCGUCCAGUCCCUCAUUGUCUGUCCAGACUCCUCUCAGACCUCGGCUCAAUCAAAGAAAAGUUUUUCAGUAAUGAGGUAAGACUUGAAAGCUUGUCGAACACAGCAGCAUGUUGAAAGGGCCCGUUUGAUCUCGCCAAGCACAAUGGCAAAAUUUGAAAAGAGCAAAGUGUGCUUUAAGCAGCGCCGCACCGCAUUAACCCCUUGUCUUUUGACAGGUCCACACCUAGAAAGAUGUAAUAUUCCACUCAAUGGAUAGAUGACGAGUAAUGGCCUCCUUGUAGCGUUUGUGCUAAAUCUGCUCCUGCUUUUAUACAUCAGCUGCUCAAGAAACAGAUGGAGUUCAAAGCUUUGUCGUGUCUCCUCUUAUGUGUUCUUGGCAACUUCUGUCUUUCUUACAUUUUCAGAAAAAAAGGAAAACUAAAACAGAAAAUUUCUGUGGAGAUUUUCUAAAUAUCACAAGCCAAAAAGUAGCAAGAAUCCAAACAGGUUCUCAGCACAAGAGAUUGGAGAUAAUGGGACUUCACAAGCUGACAGAUUACCCAGCAGUCAGCCAUGGCAGUCACGGAGCUCGAUCUACGGCUCCUGGUCGGCAUCUGUGAACUUCUGGUAAAUGAAUCAUACAGCAAAUGUUCCCAACAAAGACGAAGGUAAUGGAGCAGCUYUGAAGAAAACCUGCUCAGGUGGGAGACCUCUGUGCUGCAGAGGUUCUGUCUGAACUGCAGUCAGUGACAGCCUGACGCAGCUCUCUCAAAACAAAACACCCCGUCAAUCAAACGGCCAKGAGCUUCUCCAAUAACCACCUUUUCACUCAAACGUCUCUCUGUCUGUUUUAUGAAUCCAGCUCGUGUCCCAUGUGCUCAAUUACCUGAGUCAAUAUGGAUGUAUUGAACCCCUGCAUGUGAGUCAAAUCAUAAAGUGUAUAUACAAGAGCAGGGAUGUGAUGGUCGUCUCAGUGAGGCAGUGGAAAUUACACCGGCUCAGGAAGUAAACAAAGUGGUAAUAUAUGAAGGUAAUAAUAAUUAAUAAUGAUAAUAAGAGGGGAGCUUGUUUCUUUCCACCAGUUUGACAAAACAUGUCGAUCUACUUCACAUUAUUGCAUCCCGUAAAUUUAAUUUAAUUAACAAAUUAAGAGGCUGUGCGAGGUUCACGAGAGCAUGUGUGCAUUGCGUGCAUGAGACAGCUGCUUCUUUCUUGCUGCACACAC